rnacentral:rRNA from 1 species
UCGUGGAGUGAUCUGUCUGCUUAAUUGCGUUUCAAAAUUUAACUUGAGGACCGGGUUUUGGUUUGGCUAGUGGUUCUACGAUGACUGUGAACUGUCAUGUCUUCGGAUGUGCGACUAUUGGUCUAGGAUCACAUGACUUGCCCCUGGGACUCUUUUGAACGCAACGGACGUGAUUGCAACCCCUUGUUGAGAUUAGAGAUAGUCUCGAUAUUCACUGGACAAACUGGCUGCUUUAUGCAGUCUUGUUGAAUGGUGGAUAAACUCGGGGGACUGCUGACUAUAACCAUUUCUCAAAACAGAGGAAGGUUGCGGCAAUAACAGGUCUGUGAUGCCCUCAGAUGUCCCGGGCUGCACACGUGCUACAAUGAGUGGCGCAAUGUGCUAAUGUUUAAGGGAUAAGAGUGUGGUCAGUAGAACGUCGGGAUUUCCCCUGACGUCUCCCCCGCACGAUUAUCAGCCUUCCCUUAACAGGGCGGGCAACCUUUUCAAAAUACUGGUUUGAUGUUAAAGUAUUGAGUCGUUUUUUUUGGAUGGUGGUUUGUUAACCAAUACCAUCCGGCAACUGCUCGCGAGUUUGUGGUUCUGGCGACUCA